rnacentral:lncRNA from 1 species
UAUCUAUAUAACAUUUUAUUCUAACUGUAUUUUGAUAGAUAGAUAUAUAUAUAUAUCUAUCUAUCAAAAUACACUUAGAACGAAAUUGUAUGUAUAUCUAUUGUAACGGUACUCCUAGUGCUUCCCGAGGACUCCAAGCACUCCACCUGACACCAUAACCACUGUAGACUCCCACGAACCGCCGCAGCUUUGUUGGGGUCUCGCCGUCUCCACCCACUCUGGACCCAAGACCAGGGUCCAGUUUCCAGUAGGUCAACCUCUCCAAAUUCCAGAAAGCAGGAAAAGGAACAAGCUCUUAGCAGAGCUUUAGUGAUCAUACCCUGGGGAGUAUAGUGAUUAUAGCAAUCCCCAGAGUGUAGUUAUCCAAUCCCCCAAACAUGAGCCGAAACUUAAUGAAGGUACAAGAUGAUCUGACUCCAAUGAGCGUUUUUCUCCUUAUAUACAAGUUUUCAGGCCAGAGGCACACCCGCUGGACCUGGUGGUAAACUGUGACAAAAGGGAACACUAACAUAAUAACACUCCCACAUACACAAUGAAAUCCCUCCUCUCCAUCCUGGAGAUAAUUGGCUUAAGGCACUGCAGUAAACUCAAUUAUCUCCAGGUACAGAAAAUAUCUACAUUUUACACUAACAGCAAAAAUACGUAAAAGUACAUAAAAAUACAUCAUUCUUAUUAUAUUACACAGAACCCCCACAUUUAACCUAUCCCCGGAUAGGUCAGAUAUGAGCGCCCAAUAUAGGUGAACAGCGCUCAGAUCCCAUGAACAGAGUAAAUUUGCCAUGGGGUAAAGCAUAGCAAGGGCUGUUGAUAGACCAAGGAGGGACAAAAGCAGUCAGUUCCAACUGGUUUGGCAGUGUGCCUGGGACAACGCCCUGCUGCAGAACAAUAGACAGGAAACGGGGAAGGGGAAGAAACACACCUUCUCAUGGAUUCAAAUGGGCAGAAACAGUCUUUAGAAGGCAAUAAGCCCCAAAUAGUCUUUUUAAAUGGCAACCCCAGCGCCAUAGUCAUGAGGAAGGAGGCUGGCAAUCAGGCUCCUCAAACAGCCGGGGGCAAAGGGCAGCUUGUCACCUAACAGUCCAGUGACAAAAGGCAUUUUGUCACAUCUAUGUAUAUAUAAAUAAAAAUAAUGCGAAAUAUACAAAUGUCCAUAUACAAAAUUACAUAAAUAAUUAUAUAAAUAUACACGUAGACUUCAAAUAUAUAAAUAUGCAUAUAUAUUUAAAUUCUACGUGCGUAUUUAUGUAAUGUUUUUACAUAGUUAAGUAACUUUAUUGAUUGCAAUUUGAGGGACCUGCCUGACAACCCAGGCCGCAAGUACAGAGUAUUUAAUUUGCUAGCACUGUAUUUUACCCUGUAACGUUCUAUGACAUCCUAAAACCUGUACAUGGGGAAUACUGUUUUACUUGGGAGACUUUGCUGAGCACAAAUAUUAGUGAUUCAAAACCGUAAAACCUAUCACAGCGAUGAUAUUGUCAGUGAAAGUGACUUUUUUUGCAUUUUUCACACACAAACAGCACUUUUACUGAUGAUAUAAUUGUGGAUACGUUUUACUGUUUUGAAACACUAAUAUUUGUGUUCAACAAAAUCUCCCGAGUAUAACAGUACCCCCAUAUACAGGUUUUAUAGCGUCUUUGAAAGUUACAGGGUCAAAUAUAUGGGUCACAUAUUUUUACAUUGAAAAUUGCCAGGUUGAUUAAGUUGCCUUUUAGAGCAUAUUGUAGCCCAGGAAUGAGAAUUACCCCCAUGAUUGCAUACCAUUUGCAAAAGAAAACAACCCAAGGUAUUGCAAAUGGGUUAUGUCCAGUCUUUUUUAGUAGCCACUUAGUCACAAACACUGGCCAAAAUUAGCAUUCAGUUUAGUUUUUUACUUUUUUCACACACAAACAAAUAUGAACGCUAACUUUGGCCAGUGUUUGUGACUAAGUGGCUACUAAAAAAGACUGGAUAUACCCCAUAUUGCAUACCCUGGGUUGUCUACUUUAAAAAAAUAUGUACAUGUGGGGUGUGAUUCAGAGAUUUAUGAAGAUAAUAGUGUUACAAAUUCCCUAUUGAUACAAUUUAAAAAUAUAUAUUUUGAAACCGCAAUUUCCUAUUUGUACUUAUAGCCCUAUAACUUGCAAGCAAAAAAGCACGUAAACACUGGGUGUUUUAAAACUCAGGACAAAAUGUUGAAUCUAUUUUCAUUAGCUUUCAUAGGUAAGUAAAAGAUUUUUCAAGAAAAAGUAAAAAAAAAAAUUUCACCAUAUUUUAUGGUUUUUAAAGUAAAUUAUAUGACAUGAUACAAAUAAUGGUAUGUAAAGAAAGCCCUUUUUGUCCUAAAAAAAAAAAAUAUAGAACUUGUAUGGGAACAGUAAAUGAGAGAGAGGAAAAUUGCAGCAAAACACAAACACCAUAAAAGUGUUAAAAGAGCCCUGGUCCUCAACGUACAACAUUGCAAAAACAGGCUGGUCCUGAAGGGGUUAAGGGACUUGCAAGAUAAAUAACAUAUGCCCAAACUUUGAUUUGCCUCUUUGCUAAGGAUGCAAUUUAGUGAAGCAACAUUAUGUGUCAUAGUACUGUGCAGUAUCAAACAUUUGCGCUGUUUGUAAAUCUAACCCUAACACUACCUUUGAGGGGUUUACUUUGCUGACCGCAGUAGUGAUCUAGAAGGGAUUUCCACACUCACACAGUACAGAGCACAUUGUGUGCUCUCUAUACUUCUGUGAUCUUCCUCUCAUGCUGCAGCACCUGCAUGCUACUCUUGCCAAUCGUAUGGUGAUCAGUGCUGCUUAGCUGGCACAACCCAGUGCUAAUCACGGUCGUUAAGGAAGCAUGCAGAGAGACUCUACUGGUGUCUCCCUCUGUCCCCUGCAAGCUCCGAAUCCUGCGAGAUUACAAGCUUAUCACAGCGACUGAAUUGAUUGGCCAUGGUGAUUUAAAAGGGUUUAUGCAGAAGCACAGUCAGUCAAGUGGUUAAAUUAUAUACAUAUAUUGUUGUCCUAUAAUUUGUUACUUUUGAAACCUGAGCUUUUCUCUACGUUAUUUAUAUACAUCUAACCAAUCUGUUUGAUUAGAAAAUGGUUGCAGUAGUCGGUUACAAAUUAAAUACAGGAACUGACCACUUUUGGACUUAUUCCCAGAUCUAUAUAUAUUUUUUCUUUUUUGGCUUCCAUUGUGUUUGCUCUACUGUUAGAACAUUGCCGCUGCCCUCCCUCACCCCAUCCAUCAACACAUCUUAUGCUGUGAGUAAUGUCUUUUAUUCAGUUGGAUUAUAUUUUCCAAAAAUAUUUCCCAAAUAUUCAUGGGUUUGUUUAAAGGUUCAUAACAAGUAUGAAUACCACAUAUAAGAAACUGCAGUUAGUGAUUUAUUUUUGGAUGUUUCUAUGUGAUUAUAAUAAACCUCCCAAAAAAUGUAUACUCCCUCUUUUGCAAACUGCAACAUAGAUUUGUGAUUUCUUUUGUGUGCAUGAAGCGCUUUUACACGUUACUUGCCACCAAAAUGUAUUUUCCUAAAAUCAUGCUUUUUUUGUCUGAUGCCAUUAUGCAGAGACCUACAGAAAAUCAAAUUAGUGUGUUUAGCAAUCAAGUUACAUUGGUAUACCAGUUAUAUUCUCUUUGAAUUUCAGAGCCAUUGACUCAAAUUUUGACCUAUAAAAACUAAAUGUAAAAACUAAAUGUAUAGCUUUAAUUUGUGACAUAAGUGCUUUUUUUUCUUUUAAACAUGCUAUUUUUGGUAAAUAGUUUCUAAUCAAAGUAAAAUGCUUUCAAAUAAAAUUUCCAUAAAAGUGUCUGUCCACUUCUAUUUUUCAUAAAUCAUAUUUUAGUGUAGUAUAUUAACUUGAGGUUGGGUUUUAUUAGCCUUCUUCAAAAGAAAAAAUGUGUAUACAACAAAUUAAUACCAUCUUUCUUGGACAAUACAUGGCAGCAUCAGUUUGCAUUAGUGAUGCUAUACAGGAAAAGAAAAUUAUGGUACGUAUGAACACAUUUUCCUUUUUCUUCUAUUCACUGCUUUUGAUGUCCACUACAAGGGUUCCAGUUGGUAAAAGCCACUCCUCAUUCCUGAAGUGAGACACUUUAUUCAUAAGUAAUAGAAAUGAUCAUAUCUGUUGCAUCCAUCACAGCAAGAACAGUGAGAGAAGUUUUCCAACUGAAAGCCUUUGCUGGAGACAGAAUUAAUUUCAUAGUGUGGUUUCCAAGAAUAAAAUACAUUUGUCAGGUUGCUGGUGUGGGUUUAUGAAUAUUAUUUAUUGAUGUGAACCAUGCAUUAAAAUACUUUAUAAAUAUUUUUUUCCAUUUCCUUUUUGCUUGGUGUUUGACCCUAGCACUCCAGUAUGUUUGCCACUGUAGAAAAACUGAUUCCUUUUUGCCGUUUCCAGGAAAUAUCCCUCAUUACACAGGAGACCUCAUAAGAACAUGCUUGUAAAAUGUUUCAUAAACUG